rnacentral:misc_RNA from 1 species
AACGCACCUUGCGCUCCUCGGUAUUCCGAGGAGCAUGCCUGUUUGAGUGUCGCGGAACCGUCAACUCCCUCCCGCCUUUCGGGGCGGGCUUGGGAGCUUGGAAUUGGAGGUCCUCCUUUGCCGCGCGUGGGCUCUCACCGCCGCGGCUCCUCCCAAACGCAUUAGCCUGGCCGUUCGAAAGGGAGAAAACCCAUCGGACCGGCGUCGAUAGGGGUCGCCCUCGAGCGCCCGUGUCAACGCCGUUGAACGGGGGAUUUUUUUGAACCCUGACGAAAGGACGAGCGGGGCUUCUAAUCAAAGGGGCCGGGGUCGUCCGACUCGACGUUUCGGGGCUUUAACCGGCCUCUGUCGGCGCGUCGAACCUUCCCCCUCCCCUCCUCGAACCUUUGACCUCAGAUCAGGCAGGACUACCCGCUGAACUUAA